rnacentral:rRNA from 1 species
AACGGAGGGGACAAGUGUUACUCAUAAUGACUGGGCGUAAAGGGUAUGUAGGCGGUUCAGCAAGCAAUGAGUAAAAUCGAGAUUUAACAGUCUUAAAUGCUUUUUGAACUAUUGAACUUGAGUAUAGGGGAAGGUAGUGGUACUUUUGAUGGAGAGGUGAAAUUCGGCGAUAUUAAGAGGACAACCGCAAGCGAAGGCAACUACCUAUUCUGUACUGACGCUGAGGUACUGAAGCGUGGGGAUCAAAUCGG